rnacentral:rRNA from 1 species
AUUGAACGCUGGCGGCAUGCCUUACACAUGCAAGUCGAACGGUAACGGGUCCUUCGGGAUGCCGACGAGUGGCGAACGGGUGAGUAAUAUAUCGGAACGUGCCCAGUAGUGGGGGAUAACUGCUCGAAAGAGCAGCUAAUACCGCAUACGACCUGAGGGCGAAAGGGGGGGAUCGCAAGACCUCUCGCUAUUGGAGCGGCCGAUAUCAGAUUAGCUAGUUGGUGGGGUAAAGGCCUACCAAGGCAACGAUCUGUAGUUGGUCUGAGAGGACGACCAGCCACACUGGGACUGAGACACGGCCCAGACUCCUACGGGAGGCAGCAGUGGGGAAUUUUGGACAAUGGGCGCAAGCCUGAUCCAGCAAUGCCGCGUGCAGGAAGAAGGCCUUCGGGUUGUAAACUGCUUUUGUCAGGGAAGAAAUCUUCUGGGCUAAUACCCCGGGAGGAUGACGGUACCUGAAGAAUAAGCACCGGCUAACUACGUG